UACGAAGGGGGCUAGCGUUGUUCGGAAUACUGGGCGUAAAGCGUGCGCAGGCGGCUUCUCAAGUCAGGGGUGAAAGCCCAGAGCUCAACUCUGGAAUUGCCUUUGAGACUGAGUGGCUUGAGUACGAGAGAGGUGAGUGGAAUUCCCAGUGUAGAGGUGAAAUUCGUAGAUAUUGGGAAGAAACACCGGUGGCGAAGGCGGCUCACUGGCUCGUAACUGACGCUCA
rnacentral:rRNA from 1 species